rnacentral:rRNA from 1 species
GACGAACGCUGGCGGCGUGCUUAACACAUGCAAGUCGAACGGAAAGGCCCUGCUUUUGUGGGGUGCUCGAGUGGCGAACGGGUGAGUAACACGUGAGUAACCUGCCCUUGACUUUGGGAUAACUUCAGGAAACUGGGGCUAAUACCGGAUAGGAGCUCCUGCUGCAUGGUGGGGGUUGGAAAGUUUCGGCGGUUGGGGAUGGACUCGCGGCUUAUCAGCUUGUUGGUGGGGUAGGGGCUUACCAAGGCUUUGAAGGGUAGCCGGCCUGAGAGGGUGACCGGCCACAUUGGGACUGAGAUACGGCCCAGACUCCUACGGGAGGCAGCAGUGGGGAAUAUUGCACAAUGGGCGGAAGCCUGAUGCAGCAACGCCGCGUGCGGGAUGACGGCCUUCGGGUUGUAAACCGCUUUCGCCUGUGACGAAGCGUGAGUGACGGUAAUGGGUAAAAAAGCACCGGCUAACUACGUG